rnacentral:rRNA from 1 species
UGGGCAACCUGCCCCUCUCUCUGGGAUAACCCCCGGGAAACCGGAGCUAAUACCGGAUACUCCGGCUGGAUCGCAUGGUCCGGCCGGGAAAGGUCCGCCGGAGAGGGAUGGGCCCGCGGCCUAUCAGCUUGUUGGUGGGGUCAUGGCUCACCAAGGCGACGACGGGUAGCUGGUCUGAGAGGACGACCAGCCACACUGGAACUGAGAUACGGUCCAGACUCCGUACGGGAGGCA